ACUCCUACGGGAGGCAGCAGUGGGGAAUAUUGCACAAUGGAGGAAACUCUGAUGCAGCAACGCCGCGUGGAGGAUGACGCAUUUCGGUGUGUAAACUCCUUGUAUAUAGGAAGAUAAUGACGGUACUAUAUGAAUAAGCGCCGGCUAACUCCGUGCCAGCAGCCGCGGUAAUACGGAGGGUGCAAGCGUUACUCGGAAUCACUGGGCGUAAAGCGCAUGCAGGCGGUCUGAUAAGUUGGAAGCGAAAUCCUAUGGCUUAACCAUAGAACUGCUUCCAAAACUGUUAGACUAGAGUCUGGGAGGGGAAGAUGGAAUUAGUAGUGUAGGGGUAAAAUCCGUAGAGAUUACUAGGAAUACCAAAAGCGAAGGCGAUCUUCUGGAACAGUACUGACGCUGAGAUGCGAAAGCGUGGGGAGCAAACAGGAUUAGAUACCCUGGUAGUCCACGCAGUAAACGAUGAAUGUUAGUCGUUGGGUCUCUAGUAGAUUCAGUGAUGCAGUUAACACAUUAAACAUUCCGCCUGGGGAGUACGGUCGCAAGAUUAAAACUCAAAGGAAUAGACGGGGACCCGCACAAGUGGUGGAGCAUGUGGUUUAAUUCGAAGAUACGCGAAGAACCUUACCUAGCCUUGACAUUGAGAGAAUCUAACAGAGAUGUUGGAGUGCCUUCGGGAGCUCGAAAACAGGUGCUGCACGGCUGUCGUCAGCUCGUGUCGUGAGAUGUUGGGUUAAGUCCCGCAACGAGCGCAACCCUCGUUCUUAGUUACUAACGAUUCGGUCGAGGACUCUAAGAAGACUGCCUUCGUAAGGAGGAGGAAGGUGAGGACGACGUCAAGUCAUCAUGGCCCUUACGGCUAGGGCAACACACGUGCUACAAUGGUUAGGACAAUGAGAAGCAAUAUCGCGAGGUGGAGCAAAUCUAUAAACCUAAUCUCAGUUCG
rnacentral:rRNA from 1 species